CUAGCGCUCGGGCCCCGCCCCCACGUGCCCCGGAGUCCGGGGGAGGAGUUGGCGCUCGGGAGGAGGCGUGGCCGUGGUGCCAGCGGAGGCGCGGGCGUUGCGGCCGGGACUUUGGUUUUGACACGGACGGCGAACGGGAGCAGUGUCUGUGGUGCUGGGGUGUGGACGCGGUUCUUGCGGAUCCCGCGUUCGAGUCGGGGGCAGGACUUUUUGUCUGGAUCAACGCAACCGCGGCAACGCAGCGAGUCCUGGUGUAGCCGCAAGACUUGGUGCAGCCGCAAGACUUGGUGCGGCUGCAGCGGCCGGAUUUCACCGCCGCUGCCGCCUCCGCAAAGCCCUGCAGCUCCUGCCGGUUCUGGGAGAGAGACUCUUGAGAGUUUCUCCAGCAGAAAGAGCUGGGACGCGCGGCCCGAGGCGGCGUGGGAGGGAUCCCGCGGCCCGCCCCUGACCCGCACCCGCGUGGGCCCUGGCUCUGAAGGCGGCGGGCCAGCGCUGUCCUGGCCUCAGGCCUCGGAGCCGCAGGUGGAAGGAGGAAGCCCUGGAGGAGCGGCUGAGAGGUGGCCAAGUGAAAGGUGAUUUGGACACGCUGGGCAUGGCUAUUUAGUGUUUGUCUGUGGUAACCAUUUCAUGCCCUGAAUCCUGCACCUUCCCUUCUGUGCCUGUGAGCUCUACUGCGCUUCCUUCCUAGCCAGAGAGUUCUUCUGUGGUGGUGAGGCCUUCCUGGCCCCUUGAUCCUGGCCGGCCAUGGGGAGCACCCUGGGCUGCCACCGCUCCAUCCCCCGGGACCCCUCGGACCUGUCCCAUAGCCGCAAGUUCAGCGCGGCCUGCAACUUCAGCAACAUCCUGGUGAAUCAGGAGCGGCUCAACAUCAACACGGCCACGGAGGAGGAGCUGAUGACCCUGCCUGGGGUGACACGUGCGGUGGCACGCAGCAUCGUGGAGUACCGCGAGUACAUCGGUGGCUUCAAGAAGGUGGAGGACCUGGCACUGGUCAGUGGCGUGGGUGCCACCAAGCUGGAGCAGGUCAAGUUUGAGAUCUGCGUGAGCAGCAAGGGCAGCUCGGCACAGCACUCUCCCAGCUCCCUGAGGCGGGACCUGCUGGCGGAGCAGCAGCCUCACCACCUGGCCACCGCCGUGCCUCUCACCCCGCGCGUCAACAUCAACACAGCCACCCCGGCUCAGCUCAUGAGCGUGCGCGGCCUCACGGAGAAGAUGGCCAUCAGCAUCGUGGACUACCGCCGCGAGCACGGGCCCUUCCGAAGCGUCGAGGACCUGGUAAGGAUGGGCGGGGUCAGUGCCGCCUUCCUGGACAGGAUACGGCACCAGGUGUUUGCCGAGAGGUCCAGGCCCCCGUCCACCCACACCAACGGGGGCCUGACCUUCACCGCCAAGCCUCACCCCAGCCCCACCUCGCUGAGCUUGCAGAGUGAGGACCUGGACCUGCCCCCAGGGGGGCCUACACAGAUCAUCUCCACUCGGCCUUCGGUGGAGGCCUUCGGAGGCACAAGGGAUGGGCGGCCCGUGCUGAGGCUGGCCACCUGGAACUUGCAGGGCUGUUCAGUGGAGAAGGCCAACAACCCUGGGGUGCGAGAGGUGGUGUGCAUGACGCUCCUGGAAAACAGCAUCAAGCUGCUAGCUGUGCAAGAACUACUUGACAGAGAGGCCCUGGAAAAGUUCUGUACGGAGCUAAACCAGCCAAUCCUGCCCAACAUCCGCAAGUGGAAGGGGCCCCGAGGAUGCUGGAAGGCCGUUGUUUCGGAGAAGCCCACGACUCAGCUCCAGAAGGGCGCUGGGUUUGCAGGGUUCCUGUGGGACACCGCGGCUGGGGUGGAACUGAGAGAUGCCACCUGGCAGGAGAGCUCGCCUGGCAAUGGGCACGGGAAGCCCACAGGCCCCAGCCCGUACCUCGUGAGGUUCAAGGUGGGAAGUCAUGACUUGACCCUGGUGAACCUUCACCUGGCAGCCCUGACCCUCCCAGGGGGUGAGAACCCCAGCAAGAGUCACAGUGACAGCCACUGCUGGGCUAGCUUCGUGCAGACCUUGCAGGAAACCCUGAAAGGCGAAAAAGAGGUGAUAGUUUUAGGAGAUUUCGGCCAGGGGCCAGACAGCAGUGACUAUGAUAUCUUGAGGAAAGAAAAAUUCCACCACCUGGUCCCCGCACACACCUUUACCAACAUCAGCACCAAGAAUCCUCAAGGCUCGAAGACUCUGGACAACAUCUGGAUCAGUAAAAGCUUAAAGAAGGUUUUCACAGGUUGGGUUCUCGCUUAGGUCCCCGUGAGACCAGGAUUGUAAUGCCGAUUUCACAGCCGAAGAAACUGAGGCUUAGAGAGCUUCACCUCCUGAAGGUCACACAAGCUAGUUCCCCUCAACUGGAACAUGAGCUUUGUGGUUUCCCAACAGUGUGUCAUCCUGGACUGUCCACUGGUCCAGCUGAGCUCUCAAAAAGAAAGAUCCCCAGCCAGUGGAGCCUGUCACGUGGACACUGGUCAUCCGGCCUGCAUUCCACUGAAAAAGACCCAAAGGCCCCAUAAGGGUGCAAGACUGCACCUCACGGUUCCCCCUGGUGGAGAAACUUGGUAGGACACUCAGUAAGUCAUCUCUCGGGGAUGGAACCUGUGAUUUGUUCUAUUUGAGUUGACAGGAGACGGCAGACUGACUCUGUCCUCCAGAAGGAGUAAAAGCCGGGCUCAGACGUGGCAUCUUAAGUGGCAUCAUCGCUGGGCACACUUAGCCUUUGAAAGUCUCGAUGGCCAGCCAGGCUGCGGAAUGAUGGAGCCUUUCCCUAGUAGAGCAUUAGGCUAUGGAAGCAGCGGUCUGGUCCUCUGCUAGCACCUGGCCGCCUAGUCUCCUCCCUGCCUGGGCCUGUGAGCCUUUAGCCCAGAGGCAGGAUUUUCAUAAAACUUACAGAAUUAAAAGCUCAAGUUUUCCAGAAGCGUUAAGAUUAAUUAAUAAUCAGAUGGUCUAUCUCUUCCCUCUUCCCCUGCACAGUAAAUAUGAGAGGAUUGAGCAGAGCUUAAAAUCCAAAGAAUACUUAAAUUGACAAAUUGUGGUUAGUUGUUGAAGCUGGGUGAUGAGAACAUAGGAGUUCAUGUCACUCUUCUUUCUACUUUUGUCUAUGUUUGAAAUAUUCCAUGAUCACAAUGAAAUAAAUGCAUAAAUAAUAAAAGGCCCAA